rnacentral:rRNA from 1 species
UCACUUGUUGGUGAGGUAAUGGCUCACCAAGGCGUCGACGGGUAGCCGGCCUGAGAGGGUGACCGGCCACACUGGGACUGAGACACGGCCCAGACUCCUACGGGAGGCAGCAGUGGGGAAUAUUGCACAAUGGGCGCAAGCCUGAUGCAGCAACGCCGCGUGAGGGAUGACGGCCUUCGGGUUGUAAACCUCUUUUAGUAGGGAAGAAGCCUUCGGGUGACGGUACCUGCAGAAAAAGCACCGGCUAACUACGUGCCAGCAGCCGCGGUAAUACGUAGGGUGCAAGCGUUAUCCGGAAUUAUUGGGCGUAAAGAGCUCGUAGGCGGUUUGUCGCGUCUGCUGUGAAAUCUGGAGGCUCAACCUUCAGCCUGCAGUGGGUACGGGCAGACUAGAGUGCGGUAGGGGAGAUUGGAAUUCCUGGUGUAGCGGUGGAAUGCGCAGAUAUCAGGAGGAACACCGAUGGCGAAGGCAGAUCUCUGGGCCGUAACUGACGCUGAGGAGCGAAAGAGUGGGGAGCGAACAGGCUUAGAUACCCUGGUAGUCCACUCCGUAAACGUUGGGAACUAGUUGUGGGGGCCUUCCACG